rnacentral:misc_RNA from 1 species
CCUCCUCAGUCCCCUCCUUCUGAUGGUGUAGAAGGUGGAGGCUUUGCAACAACAGCAGAAGGAGGGGACUGAGGAGGUGGGGAUAGACUUGAAGGGGCAGAGAGGUCUGUUGGAUUGGCAUUGGGCUGUGAAGGGGGAGAAAUCGUAGGAGGGUCGGGUGGAGAAGAGGAAGAUUGUGGUGGCGGACUGGUGGUGAAGGGUGGUUGCGAAUUAGAGGUGGAUGGCGGUAGUGGAGUGGUUGAACCUGGUGGAAGAGCAGAAGUGGAUGAAUUUGGGGGUGGAGAUGCAGUCGCCAUUCCAAAGUUUCCAACUUUCAAGUCAUAAAAUUCACAUGCCAAAAUUUUAUCAAUUCCAGUGCAGAAAC